GUUUUAGUAAGCCAACGCCGCUUAAGGCAGAGUCGCACUUCUGUGCAGGCGUAUCAAAUACACUGUCUUGGUGUGUGGAUGCUGGUUGAGGACCCAUAGGAAAUGAAUGGGCACUUUCACUCAGCUUUUUCUACAGCAGCUGAAUACAACUUCCUUUAAUCAAAGGAAGUGAAUGGGGGAAGAUUUAUUGCUGGCACCUUAUGGAGGAGCAGGACACCGAGACAGGCUUCACUUCCUGCUACAGGCCCAAAGGAUGGUUCUUUCAAAUGGUGCAUCCAAAACAACAAAGGACAAAAAGCUGCCUGUUGAAAGGACAUGAAUGAACCCUGCACAGCCCUAGAGAAUAAUAGCCGAGAACAGCGCUUGUGCCCGAGAUGCUUUUCCUUUUUUGUUGUUGUUUUAAAGGUACAGUUAUCCUAUAAGUACAGUAUUACAGACUGCAUAAAGAGAUUGUAAGUGACCGUGUGCUAAAUUAUUACAUAGGCUGACCGGGAAUGGACUACAACCUAGAGAGCGAGGUUUCUGUCAUCUAUUCACUAACUUUGCUAAUCAUGUACCAGCUCAUACCAGUCUCUUCUAUGUAAGGAUCUCUGUUUCUCCAAGGUCGCCUGUGAUUAAGCUGAACCUCACAACAGCUAAUAGCUUGUUGAAUAAAUCAAUGUACCAGUGUCUGCAUACAUAACAACCAUGCCUGUGUAAAUCAUUUGUCCAUUGCCAUAUCUUUUUUUCAAUGGACACAUACUUGCAGUCUAAAGAAACUCUGGACAAUAGGAAUAGCUACUGUCAUUUACCACUUGCUUUGGAUUGGACUCCUUUAUUAUCUCAAUACAGUAAUGCUAAACCGCACACUGGAUUGGCAUUUUUCAGAGCUGACACCUCUGGACAGGGGCAUGACCUUUCAGCAAGAAUAGUCCAAUGCCCAAAAUUAUCAGUAAUCCGUUUUAGAGGUUAAUUUACAGUUACCGACUAGGCCAAGGAGUAAAACAGCCCAUACAUUUGUCAGCUUUUUUUGUUCACCCAGCGAGU